CAGUAGCCGCGGUAAUACAGAGGGUGCGAGCGUUAAUCGGAUUUACUGGGCGUAAAGCGUGCGUAGGCGGCUUCUUAAGUCGGAUGUGAAAUCCCUGAGCUUAACUUAGGAAUUGCAUUCGAUACUGGGAAGCUAGAGUAUGGGAGAGGAUGGUAGAAUUCCAGGUGUAGCGGUGAAAUGCGUAGAGAUCUGGAGGAAUACCGAUGGCGAAGGCAGCCAUCUGGCCUAAUACUGACGCUGAGGUACGAAAGCAUGGGGAGCAAACAGGAUUAGAUACCCCAGUAGUCCCUGUCUUUUAUAC
rnacentral:rRNA from 1 species